rnacentral:rRNA from 1 species
AGCAGCCGCGGUAAUUCCAGCUCCAAUAGCGUAUAUUAAAGUUGUUGCAGUUAAAAAGCUCGUAGUUGAACUUCAGGCCUGUCCAGACGGUCCGCCCUAAUUGGUGUGUACUGUCCUUGGGUGGGUCCUACCUUCUGGCGAAGCGGCAUGGCCUUAAUUGGUUGUGUCGGGGAACCAGGACUUUUACUGUGAAAAAAUUAGAGUGUUCAAAGCAGGCAAAUAUGCUCGAAUACAUUAGCAUGGAAUAAUGGAAUAGGACGAUGGUUCUAUUUUGUUGGUUCUAGGACCGUUGUAAUGAUUAAUAGGGAUAGUUGGGGGCAUUAGUAUUCAAUUGUCAGAGGUGAAAUUCUUGGAUUUUAUUGAAGACUAACUACUGCGAAAGCAUUUGCCAAGGAUGUUUUCAUUAAUCAAGAACGAAAGUUAGGGGAUCGAAGACGAUCAGAUACCGUC